UUCAAUAAUUUCAUCAGGGACAAAACAAACAACUUCGAAUAAGGUUUCCAAAAAACUAACUUACCGAAUAACAAAUGCAGCGAUUUCAACAUGGCGCUCCAGCGGCCUGGUCGCCCAGUUUAGCUUCACCUCAGCAGGAUCCAGCGCUGUGAGGAACAGAGACCCUCAGCCUUCAGCGAAACCAGCACUCAGGUCCAUUAUUCAGUCCAGCAGCUCUGCAUGCCGGGACAUUUACAGCCAAUUUGUGUCCUCCAAUAUGGAUGCAGAUUUUUCAAGUAUUUGUAUGUCAAGUAUUUACCAACACAGAGCAUGUUAUCAGCAAAAGAAAAAAAUAAUAUAUUUUGUAUGACUAGAACGUUUUAAGUCUUUUACAUUUAUCAAAAGCCAUUUUGUAUUCUUGAAGAUGAAAAUCAUUUAAAAUGUUAUUUUACUUUUUGUACUUGAAUACAUUUCAAGAUUUGUACUUUUUUAAACUUUUGAGUAAAACAGUUCAAUCUGUACUUUUACUAGAAUAUUUCUUCAUACAAAUAUCUGUACCUCUACUUAAGUAGAGAAUGUGAGUACUUUUGACACCUCUGUGUUCAUGCUCUUAUUUUGAAGUGGCUGGAGACUGCUUACGUAGCAGUUCCGUUGCGUGCUUCUCCUCACGUUCUCUAUUUCGCCUCAAUAACUUUAUUUAAGACAAGAAUAGGAACAUAAUAAAACAGACAGUAGUGAACAAGAUAUAAACACAUGAAUACAAUGCCUGAGGGCGUUAUAAAACAUGAAAAUUAUGUCAAAUUUAAGAUGUAGUCUUUCAAGGACAUAAUGAAUUAAAGUUAGCAAUUCCAGUUAGCUUCUGCUAAAUCUUAGCGCAGAACUUUGUCCACCUCUUAAAAUGCUUCGCCUUGGUGUUAUUCAAGAAAUCUGUAGUGGUACAUAGUUAACUGUGACCAUAAUGAUGAAAUAAUGCAGCAUUCUUUAAUAUUUACACAUCAGAUUUCUUCAACUCUUUAUGGUAAUAUCGCUAACUCUUGUAAGUGCAGGAUUUCAUAAACAAAGAUGGCUGAAUGCAUGUUGGCAGUUUCUCCUGCUCAAAGAUGCUUUUAUGGGGUCAGAAAACGUUUUAUUUAGGAACCUUUUUCCUUUUUUUACACAAUGACAACACACUGAUGACAUCAUACAAUGACAACACACUGAUGACAUCAUAGAAUCAACUUACAGUAAAGGGCUUGUCAACAAUGCCUUAGCAACACAUGCUCCCUGGGCUGAUUAGCAUCAGAGGAUUUUUACCUUUAAUGCGCCGGGAGGGCUGCCUGAUUUAGGCCUUUUAAGGCUUUCACUUUUUAUUUGGCUAAACUUUCAACAUAGGCCUAAAAUCUUUCCACAAUAAUGUGGAUACAAAGUCCUCUGAGGCGAUAAGUUGCUGCUAAACUUAAAGGGGAGCGCCACUCAGUUUCAGGUGAUAAGUGAGCAGGGGCGUAGCCACAGGGUGGCUGGGGGGGGACCGGCUACCCUCCUAUUCUACAUAGACUCCAUGUCAGUAGAAGGGGUGAAUCAUAUUAACCAAAUUAAUCAUAAUUCAUUAUUAUUGAAGUAAACAUCAACUAAUUUGGUAAACGUUUAAUUGUUAGCUGGAGCAUUAAAAACGCCAUUUGCUGAAAGAACAACACAGAACAGUGAUUGAACCAAAACUAUA